CGCACAUUGCGCCCUUUGGUAUUCCGAAGGGCAUGCCUGUUCGAGCGUCAUUACAACCCUCAAGCAUUGCUUGGUAUUGGGGUUCGUCCCCGAGACGUCCCCGAAAUUACGUGGCGGUCCAGUUAGACUUCAAGCGCAGCAAGAUUAAAAGAUCUCGCUUCGAAGCUUCUCGCUGUAUCGGCCAGACAACCUAAACUCAAUGAUUGACCUCGGAUCAGGUAGGGAUACCCGCUGAACUUAA
rnacentral:misc_RNA from 1 species